rnacentral:tRNA from 1 species
AGCGGGGUAGAGCAGUGGUUAGCUUGACGGUUUCAUAAGCCGUAGGUCGCGCGUUCGAAUCGCGCUCCCGCUA